UGGGGAAUAUUGCACAAUGGGCGCAAGCCUGAUGCAGCCAUGCCGCGUGUGUGAAGAAGGCCUUCGGGUUGUAAAGCACUUUCAGCGAGGAGGAAGGUGGUGAGCUUAAUACGCUCAUCAAUUGACGUUACUCGCAGAAGAAGCACCGGCUAACUCCGUGCCAGCAGCCGCGGUAAUACGGAGGGUGCAAGCGUUAAUCGGAAUUACUGGGCGUAAAGCGCACGCAGGCGGUUUGUUAAGUCAGAUGUGAAAUCCCCGGGCUCAACCUGGGAACUGCAUUUGAAACCGAUGGCAGCAGAGUCUCGUAGAGGGGGUAGAAUUCCAGGUGUAGCGGUGAAAUGCGUAGAGAUCUGGAGGAAUACCGGUGGCGAAGGCGGCCCCCUGGACGAAGACUGACGCUCAGGUGCGAAAGCGUGGGGCAGCAAACAGGAUUAGAUACCCUGGUAGUCCACGCUGUAAACGAUGUCGAUUUUGGAGGUUGUGCCCUUGAGGCGUGGCUUCCGGAGCUAACGCGUUAAAUCGACCGCCUGGGGAGUACGGCC
rnacentral:rRNA from 1 species